ACGUACGCUGGCGGCGUGCUUAACACAUGCAAGUCGAACGGAAAGGCCCUGCUUUUGUGGGGUGCUCGAGUGGCGAACGGGUGAGUAACACGUGAGUAACCUGCCCUUGACUUUGGGAUAACUUCAGGAAACUGGGGCUAAUACCGGAUAGGAGCUCCUGCUGCAUGGUGGGGGUUGGAAAGUUUCGGCGGUUGGGGAUGGACUCGCGGCUUAUCAGCUUGUUGGUUGGGUAGUGGCUUACCAAGGCUUUGACGGGUAGCCGGCCUGAGAGGGUGAACGGCCACAUUGGGACUGAGAUACGGCCCAGACUCCUACGGGAGGCAGCAGUGGGGAAUAUUGCACAAUGGGCGGAAGCCUGAUGCAGCAACGCCGCGUGCGGGAUGACGGCCUUCGGGUUGUAAACCGCUUUCGCCUGUGACGAAGCGUGAGUGACGGUAAUGGGUAAAGAAGCACCGGCUAACUACGUG
rnacentral:rRNA from 1 species